GGGCUGGUGGCGCAGCGGUUAGCGCAGGGGAUUGCAGCUAGCACCUGGAAAGGUCAAAAACACACAUAAUCCCAAGGUCCCCGGUUCAAUUCCGGGUCAGCCCU